UGAGGAAUAUUGGUCAAUGGGCGGAAGCCUGAACCAGCCAAGUCGCGUGAGGGAAUAAGGCCCUAUGGGUCGUAAACCUCUUUUGUCGGGGAGCAAAGCCAUGUUCGUGAACAUGGAAGGAGAGUACCCGAAGAAAAAGCAUCGGCUAACUCCGUGCCAGCAGCCGCGGUAAUACGGAGGAUGCGAGCGUUAUCCGGAUUUAUUGGGUUUAAAGGGUGCGUAGGCGGACAGUUAAGUCAGCGGUAAAAUGGCGGGGCUCAACCCCGUCCGGCCGUUGAAACUGGUUGUCUAGAGUGAGUGAGAAGUAAGCGGAAUGCGUGGUGUAGCGGUGAAAUGCAUAGAUAUCACGCAGAACCCCGAUUGCGAAGGCAGCUUACCGGCGCUCAACUGACGCUGAGGCACGAAAGUGCGGGGAUCGAACAGG
rnacentral:rRNA from 1 species